rnacentral:tRNA from 2 species
UUUGAAAUCUCACUGUAAAUAGAGAUUCAUAAUUCCAAGCAAGAAAAAAUCUCACAUAAAUAGUUCUUUUAUAA